UGCAGUCGAAGAACACUUUUACAGAUUUCUUCGGAUUGAAGCCUUGGUGACUGAGCGGCGGACGGGUGAGUAACGCGUGGGUAACCUGCCUCAUACAGGGGGAUAACAGUUGGAAACGGCUGCUAAUACCGCAUAAGCGCACAGUACCGCAUGGUACGGUGUGAAAAACUCCGGUGGUAUGAGAUGGACCCGCGUCUGAUUAGGUAGUUGGUGGGGUAACGGCCUACCAAGCCGACGAUCAGUAGCCGACCUGAGGGGGUGACCGGCCACAUUGGGACUGAGACACGGCCCAAACUCCUACGGGAGGCAGCAGUGGGGAAUAUUGCACAAUGGGGGAAACCCUGACGCAGCGACGCCGCGUGAGCGAUGAAGUAUUUCGGUAUGUAAAGCUCUAUCAGCAGGGAAGAAAAUGACGGUACCUGACUAAGAAGCCCCGGCUAACUACGUGCCAGCAGCCGCGGUAAUACGUAGGGGGCAAGCGUUAUCCGGAUUUACUGGGUGUAAAGGGAGCGUAGACGGCAUGGCAAGCCAGAUGUGAAAGCCCGGGGCUCAACCCCGGGACUGCAUUUGGAACUGUCAGGCUAGAGUGUCGGAGAGGAAAGCGGAAUUCCUAGUGUAGCGGUGAAAUGCGUAGAUAUUAGGAGGAACACCAGUGGCGAAGGCGGCUUUCUGGACGGUGACUGACGUUGAGGCUCGAAAGCGUGGGGAGCAAACAGGAUUAGAUACCCUGGUAGUCCA
rnacentral:rRNA from 1 species